rnacentral:rRNA from 1 species
UGCAAGUCGAACGAUGAUCCCAGCUUGCUGGGGGAUUAGUGGCGAACGGGUGAGUAACACGUGAGUAACCUGCCCUUAACUCUGGGAUAAGCCUGGGAAACUGGGUCUAAUACCGGAUAUGACUCCUCAUCGCAUGGUGGGGGGUGGAAAGCUUUUUGUGGUUUUGGAUGGACUCGCGGCCUAUCAGCUUGUUGGUGAGGUAAUGGCUUACCAAGGCGACGACGGGUAGCCGGCCUGAGAGGGUGACCGGCCACACUGGGACUGAGACACGGCCCAGACUCCUACGGGAGGCAGCAGUGGGGAAUAUUGCACAAUGGGCGCAAGCCUGAUGCAGCGACGCCGCGUGAGGGAUGACGGCCUUCGGGUUGUAAACCUCUUUCAGUAGGGAAGAAGCGAAAGUGACGGUACCUGCAGAAGAAGCGCCGGCUAACUACGUGCCAGCAGCCGCGGUAAUACGUAGGGCGCAAGCGUUAUCCGGAAUUAUUGGGCGUAAAGAGCUCGUAGGCGGUUUGUCGCGUCUGCCGUGAAAGUCCGGGGCUCAACUCCGGAUCUGCGGUGGGUACGGGCAGACUAGAGUGAUGUAGGGGAGACUGGAAUUCCUGGUGUAGCGGUGAAAUGCGCAGAUAUCAGGAGGAACACCGAUGGCGAAAGCAGGUCUCUGGGCAUUAACUGACGCUGAAGAGCGAAAGCAUGGGGAGCGAACAGGAUUAGAUACCCUGGUAGUCCAUGCCGUAAACGUUGGGCACUAGGUGUGGGGGACAUUCCACGUUUUCCGCGCCGUAUCUAACGCAUUAAGUGCCCCGCCUGGGGAGUACGGCCGCAAGGCUAAAACUCAUAGGAAUUGACGGGGGCCCGCACAAGCGGCGGAGCAUGCGGAUUAAUUCGAUGCAACGCCGAGAAACUUACCAAAGCUUGACAUGAACCGGAAACACCUGGAGACAGGUGCCCCGCU